AGCGUAGACGGCGCAGCAAGUCUGAUGUGAAAGGCAGGGGCUUAACCCCUGGACUGCAUUGGAAACUGUUGAGCUUGAGUGCCGGAGGGGUAAGCGGAAUUCCUAGUGUAGCGGUGAAAUGCGUAGAUAUUAGGAGGAACACCAGUGGCGAAGGCGGCUUACUGGACGGUAACUGACGUUGAGGCUCGAAAGCGUGGGGAGCAAACA
rnacentral:rRNA from 1 species